rnacentral:rRNA from 1 species
GAUCUGGUUGGGUGGUCCGCCUGACGGCGUGUUUACUGCUUGACCGGGUCUUGCCUCUUGGUGAACCGUUGUGUUCUUUAUUGAAUGCUUCGGGAAACCAGGACUUUUACCUUGAGAAAAUUAGAGUGUUCAAAGCAGGCCUAUGCCUGAAUACAUUAGCAUGGAAUAAUAAAAUAGGACGUGUGGUUCUAUUUUGUUGGUCUUUUAGAGCUGCCGUA